UGGUAUGUUUUAGCUUUGUUUGGAUUUGCUGUCAAACCCUAAAAACAUUAGCAAAUGGUACCCGCGCUUUUAAAUCAUAAAAAGAAACCUAGAUUUGUUUGCAGUUUUUUUAAUCUGUUGUUAAUAAACUUGAAAGAACACAGCCCUGUCUAAUAAACACAUCAAACUAAUGGGUACCAGCGCAGUUCAGAAGAGUGUUUGUUGUUUGGUGUUUAGAUUUCAGUCAGAAUUAAUCAACAAUGGAUGGGGCCUGCUGUAUUUAUUAGCAGCUCAAAUCCCUGUGAUUUAAUGCCAGGUCCCUUUGACUCAUUCCAGUGAACGCUGGCAAGGUUACAGCACUGAUACAUACUUACAUCCUCGGGUCUUAAAAAGAAAGAGAAAAAUAGAGCCUAAAAUCAGACCACAGGAUUGGCAAGAAUUUCCCGAGAGCCAUUUUGAAUUUAGCCCUAUACAGAGAGCCUGUGAAUAGGAAGCAAUUGAUUCAGGAACAGAGGAGCCUUUUUUGCUGGAAGAAGCCUUCAGCUGUGCAGAUGGCUCGCUGGCAUAAUCCAGUCUGCCUUUGUCUUUCAUUUUAUAUAUUAGGCUACUUUCUUCUCACACUCUAUAUUGCUUUUAUUUUCUCCUUUUACUCCAAGCCUCCAAAUUUUGGGGGCAAGGAGAAGUUGCAGGGGUUUGGCGAGGGCGGCUGCACUCUAUAUGCACUAUCUCCCACAGAUUAUGAGUCGCUGGUACAUUGCUGGAAAUGCUGCUUGCUUGUCACAGUCACCGCUAGGCUGUUCUUUGUACAAAAGUGUCAACUUUUGAAUGAAGCCUCUGGAAACAGAUGUAAAGAUUAAUCUUGAGAAUGCAUUUUUCUGAGGCUCCAAAAACGUGCCUUACUUGUGCAAUAGCCCCGGUCCUUGACAUUUAUUUUUUUCAAAGUGAUCUCAUUUCUCAAUUACAAAGACUGACAUUCUUUGCUGUUCAUGUUCAGAAAAUUCCACAGCCUUUACCCAUUCUUUCUGCUUCCCAUGUCUGGGGGCUGCCUUUCGAGAGCAAAUUAUUUGUGGAAAGAUGUUAUUUAUCUGGAAACUCUUCAGUGAAAAGUUGAUGGAGUCAUUUUUACUCCAGGGACCAUCUAUCUCCCUUCCAAGAUAAGAUUUGCCCGGGCUCCCCUCCUACACCUUCCUAUGGGAAGAUAGCCCACUUUGGGCCUGAUAAGUAGUUUCACGUUGAAUGCCUUGUGGCUGUCUCACAGAUCCUUUCACAUCCUUCCCAGAUUUUUCUUUCUUGCUCUAGGUCAUAUUGUCUUUUUUUCUCUCAUUUGGAGGCAAAUUUUGAAGAACAAACAUACGCCAAAAUGGGCAUUUGUUCAAGUAUUUCCAUGUUAAAUAUUAGGCUAUAUCUCAAAAUGUUCUGAAGCAAAUCUGAAUUUAAAAAAGAAAGAAACACUGAGAAUGUUAAUCACAUACCUCUGUUUUUCUUCUGGAGCUCUUUGGUCCAAUGACAUGUUUCCUUUCAGCAAAUAGGCUUUGUGGGAAUGAUGUGGGCUAUCUUUUUUUUUUUUUAAUUUUAUUUUUUAUUUUUUUUAAUUGUAAAUGUUCCACACACAGAGAAUAAAUACCACAGACUCCACCACUUUGGAAUGACUUGAUUGUGAGUCAAUGUCCUUGUUUUCCCUCCUCAAAAAUUGUCUUUUCCAUUUAUAUGGGAAACACAUGUACAUAGUUCCUCCUUUCUUAUCGUUAAACAAUGUGUGUAAUGCAUUUCAGCUGGGGAUUAAAAAGAUCUGGUUCUUUAAACAUUUGUAUACGAUCGGCAAAUGUCCUAACAUAUAGACCUUUUUUCACUGUUGUAAUCAUUGCCUAUAUACUCAGCACUUUCUUUUGUGAGGCACAUUUAUUUUGGUACUGACAUACUUAAUUUUCUUAUGGUACCUCUUUUAGGUUGUGUAUCUCAAGGGCAUUGCUUAUAAAGAGGAACUUGACUCUCAAGUGAAAAUGUUUAAGUUUAAAGACCGAAUGCAGAUUUUUGGCUAAAGAUGGCAGAAGAAAUGUGUUUGCAUCCCAGUUUAUUCCUUGAAGUAAUAAAAAAUAACAAUGGUGUAAAACAAAUAAGAAAGGCCAUCCUCAAUGAAACCGGGCACAUGCAAGCCAUGCCAGCAAAGUGUAGGUGCCAGAAACAGUGACGUUGGGACCAAGCUGAGAUGACCUCAGUCUGCUGGCACAUAUAUCUCUGAUUCCUGGUAAUGACCAGAGAGCGCUUUACAAGUUGGGUGCCCUGUCCUGAAAGGCCCCAACCAAGGAUCUUUCUCUGGAAUGACAAGAGUCUGAGGGUUUGGAUUUGCUACAGGAAGUUAUUGAAUUCAGGUUUAUGUAGCCAAGGAGGAGCAGGGUCAGGGUGUAAACAGAAUUACUCAGAUAUCUCUUUUUAUCACAAAAGGCUGACCACUGGGAAGAGGGAAGAUGUUAGAAGGCAAAUAGAUUUGUUAGGGAAUCACAGGCUGCUGGAGACUUACAUAGUAUGUUGGAGCCAGCUCAUGGUCUACCGUCUAGAGCUGAUUUGUAAAUUUUUGAUCAAAAAGUUGAUCAUUAAACACAGUCAUUCAAAAUUAAAUUAUAAAAUUACAAUAAUGUUAAAAACAAAGGUAAUAAGUACUCGAAACUCAACACUCCAUAUUUCCGUAUUUUAUUAUUACCUAAUGUUCUUGAGGCAUUUACAUCGAUUGUAUUUGAUUGGUGAAAAUGUUAUAUUAAAGUGCCCUUCUGUGCAUUUCCUCCCAACCCUGUGAUCAGUGAUGUCACAUUGGUAGUUUGAAAUUAGCCAUGGUGGAAAUAUUAUACUAUGAAAAUCUGCAAAUGCUGUAGAUCAGCACUUCGCUUAUUGCUUAUUAUUUGGACUUAGAGUGAUAGAGAAAACAUUAAUGCUUAUUAAAACGAACAAUGUCACAUCCGCAGCACAAAAAGUUGAGGAGGUAUCCUUUUAGUGUUUGAAUUUAUAAUUUGGUUCAGUGAGUAAGCUGCUCAAGUCACCAAUGAAAGUAUGAUGUUCCCACAUGUGUGUCUUUGCUGUUUCACUUUCAUCUUACUUAUUAGCUAACUGGAAAUAUCAUCCAGCGUUUGCGUCAGAACCACAUUUGCUUGUCAGUCGCAAUCAUAGGCUGGGUACGAAUUUGGUAAAACUCAAUAAAGCAUUCUGGGAGAAUCAAUCGGCUGUACAGACUUUACAAUUGUCUUUUGUGAUUAUUUUGUAAAUUGUGUGCUAUCCAUCCUUUAUAUCAGUAAAGCAGUAAACUUAUUAUGUACAUGUAAAAUGCAAAUAUGUAAAAACAUAUGUGCAUGUAAAAAUGCACUGUUUUUAGGAUAGUCUGUGAAGGAGUUAUACACACCUACAGGUGCUUUGCGAUGCUCCAGCAAGAUAGCCUUCUCACUCUUUGUUGGGCACGGGAACAGAAAAAAUGGAGGUUUAGUAACUUGAAUGCAGGGACCAUUUUUUCUAAAGUGGAAGUUUGGUGUAUUGAUUUUAGAUCUUUCUACUGUUCUUCAGCCUCUCUAUAAGCACUGUUUUCACUGUAUCCCACAACUUUUACUAUGUUGUAUUUUCAUUUUUAUUUAGUUUAAAACAUUUUUCAACUUCUCUUGAGAUUUCUUCUUUGAUUCAUGUUGUUUAGAAAUGUGUUGUUUAAUCUCCAAGUAUUUUUUAAUUCUCUGGCUACUUUUAUGUUGAAUGUUUAUUUUUAGUCCAAGACAUAAUCAGUCUGGAUUCUUUCCUCCAUUUUCUCCAUGUACCUUUGAAUGGAGAGCAGGGUGUUGUCAUAAAUUUUUCCAGUAUCUUCUGGAUGAAUCCUUUUAAAUGACCCAUGAGUACCUCAUAGUUAACAAGCUUCAAUCAACUUCUUUUCUUCUAUCCCAAACAGUUCUACUUCUAUGAUGCUCAAUAUACCUUACUGGUAAUUCUGCACCCACCCUUUCUGCAAGUCAGAAACCUGGAGAUCUUCCUAGAUUUUUAGUUUCUCAGCCUUACAUAUGUAGUUGGAAAUCAAGAUUUACCAGUUAUACAUUUGAAGCCUUUUUUCUGUUCCCUUCUCACAAUUCCCAUUUUCAUUAAGUUCAAAUCCUCAUCUCUAACUUGAACUUCUGGAAUAGUUUCUUAAUUCAUCUUCCUGCUUUUAGUUUUAUUUCUCCCAUCUACCUUGCAUCACUUUGCCAGAGUUAUUACAUAUAUAUGUAAUUACACAUUAAUUGUAACCUUAUAACAUUAGUAUUAGAUAUAGAUAACAAAUAUGCAUUCAUUAUAUUUUGAUUUGUUUAAAAUUAUUUUUAUUUAAAAUUCUUCAGGACACCUGGGUGGCUCAGUGGUUGAGUGUCUGCCUUUGGCUUGGGUCAUGAUCCCGGGGGUCCUGGGAUCUAGUCCUGCAUUGGGCUCCCUGCUGUGAACCUGAUUCUCCCUCUGCCUAUGUCCCUGCUUCUCUCUGUGUGUCUCUCAUGAAUAAAUAAAUAAAAUCUUAAAAAAAAAUUCUACAAUAGCUUAAGAUUCUUCCUAAUGCCUAGAGAAUAAAGUAUAAAUCCCUUUAUAGAGCAUAUUUAAUUAUUUUAAUUUGACCUUUGACCCUUGACCCUUUAUUGGUUCUUGCCUUCAUUCUUAGAAAUUUGGUUACUGUUCUGUAAGAAAAGGGCAAGCAUACUUGUAGCUGCUCCUCAGAGGUCACCUUCCUGUGAGGUCUCUUGGAAAUAUUUUUUUCCCCUCCUCCAUUUAAAUGCUCCUCCUUUGUUUGUCCACAGGUCCUUUCCUUACUCUUUCAAUGCCUCGCCCAUUUUGUUUCAGGUAACUGUUUACAGGUAGACUCUCCAGCUGUGAGCAUCUUAACUGUAAGGACUGUAUUUUGUUCAUCUUUCUUUACUCUUUUAGCCCAGAGCCUUGCCUGUUGUGCAUUCCCAGCAAACGUUUGUUGAAUGAGGUUGAAUGUGCAGAGCUUUGUAAGAUUAUGGUGAAGGCCUGGUUGUAGCUUCAUUAAACCUGAGCCAUUCAGACCACCAAAGGAGCUUUGUCUGAAGGGAGAGUGGCACCAAUUAGUGUAGAUUGUUGCAAGUAGAAUGGAAAUAAGCUAGAGAAAAGCUCCAGUCUCAUUGAGGUCCUGGGGGAACAUACUUGAUGCCUUUGAGUGAAUAUGGCUUAAAACUUGAUUCAUAUGAAUUUUUAUUGUAAUUUUCAGUGAUCUUUCCUAGAGCUAUAAACACUUAGAUAUUGUUAGUCAGAUCCUUAUUCCAAAAAAGAACGCCAAUUUGUAUUUUAGUUGUCUGGAAUUGUAGUCCCUCUUUAUUUCAGUCUUUUUUGUGCUUUUUGAUCUUCCAGUUAGCUGGAUCUCAAAAUAUCAAUGAAAUCUUUCCCUGGCAAAAAAAAAAAAAAAAAAAAAAAA
rnacentral:lncRNA from 1 species